rnacentral:rRNA from 1 species
GGGUCAGUAGGUUGGUCGUGCCACCGGUACGUACUGGUCUCACUGAUUCCUCCUUCCUGAAGAACCGUAAUGCCAUUAAUUUGGUGUUGCGGGGAAACAGGACUGUUACUUUGAAAAAAUUAGAGUGUUUAAAGCAAGCUAACGCUUGAUUACAUUAGCAUGGAAUAAUGAAAUAGGACGAUCGAUCCUAUUUUGUUGGUUUCUAGGAUUGACGUA